ACAAAUUCAAAAACAAUCAGAUGAAAGAAAAGAUAUUACAAGCUGCCAAGAAGAAGCCAUUCAGAUACCAUGGAAACAUGGUGAGGUUAACACAGGAUCUGGCUGCAUCCACACUGAAGGACCAAAGGGCAUGGGAUACGAUAUUCCAGAAAGCAAGGGAACUAGGUCUACAACCAAGAAUAAAAUACCCAUCAAAACUAACUAUAUUCUUACAGGGGAAAGUAUGGUCAUUCAACACAACAGAAGAGUUCCAAGCAUUCAUAAAUAAAAGACCAGACCUGAACAGAAACUUUGAUGCCCAACCACAGAACUCAAGAGAAUCAUCAAAAGAAAACUACAUCCACAAGUACAAGAACCAUUAUAAUUUUGAACCAAUAUCAGUGAUGUGUGAAAAUCUGUGGAAGACUGAAAAGGAAUCAUGGUACUGA
rnacentral:lncRNA from 1 species